CUGAUGCAGCCAUGCCGCGUGUGUGAAGAAGGCCUUCGGGUUGUAAAGCACUUUCAGUUGUGAGGAAAAGUUAGUAGUUAAUACCUGCUAGCCGUGACGUUAACAACAGAAGAAGCACCGGCUAACUCCGUGCCAGCAGCCGCGGUAAUACGGAGGGUGCGAGCGUUAAUCGGAAUUACUGGGCGUAAAGCGCACGCAGGCGGUUUGUUAAGCUAGAUGUGAAAGCCCCGGGCUCAACCUGGGAUGGUCAUUUAGAACUGGCAGACUAGAGUCUUGGAGAGGGGAGUGGAAUUCCAGGUGUAGCGGUGAAAUGCGUAGAUAUCUGGAGGAACAUCAGUGGCGAAGGCGACUCCCUGGCCAAAGACUGACGCUCAUGUGCGAAAGUGUGGGUAGCGAACAGGAUUAGAUACCCUGGUAGUCCACACCGUAAACGCUGUCUACUAGCUGUGUGUGCCUUUAAGGCGUGCGUAGCGAAGCUAACGCGCUAAGUAGACCGCCUGGGGAGUACGGCCGCAAGGUUAAAACUCAA
rnacentral:rRNA from 1 species